UACGGGGGGGGCAAGCGUUGUUCGGAAUCACUGGGCGUAAAGGGCGCGUAGGCGGCCAUUCAAGUCGGGGGGGAAAGCCUGUGGCUCAACCACAGAAUUGCCUUCGAUACUGUUUGGCUUGAGACCGGAAGAGGUUAGUGGAACUGCGAGUGUAGAGGUGAAAUUCGUAGAUAUUCGCAAGAACACCAGUGGCGAAGGCGGCUAACUGGUCCGGUUCUGACGCUGAGGCGCGAAAGCAUGGGGAGCGAACAGG
rnacentral:rRNA from 1 species